ensembl:lncRNA
AUGUAUCUUCUUCAGGAUAACUGUAGAAUCCAAAUUUUAAAACCACUUUUUUUUUUUUUUUUCACAGUGGCCCUAAUGUGUUGGACAACUGCUUCUUUAACCCUACAUGGAUUAGAUUACCCAUCUCUUCCAAAACAUCUGAGUCCCUGAACUGUGAAAUGGUGUCAUGUACUGUUUUGUUCCGCUGACUACUUGCAUCUACAUCUAUAAAAUGAUUCAGAUCUUCAGUGGCCAGAGGCUUCUCUUAUUAUUUUCUUCCCCUUAAAUAACUCCUUAAAUAAAACAUUGAAAAUUAAAGUGCA